rnacentral:rRNA from 1 species
GAUGAACGCUGGCGGCGUGCCUAAUACAUGCAAGUCGAGCGAACAGACGAGGAGCUUGCUCCUCUGACGUUAGCGGCGGACGGGUGAGUAACACGUGGAUAACCUACCUAUAAGACUGGGAUAACUUCGGGAAACCGGAGCUAAUACCGGAUAAUAUAUUGAACCGCAUGGUUCAAUAGUGAAAGACGGUUUUGCUGUCACUUAUAGAUGGAUCCGCGCCGCAUUGGCUAGUUGGUAAGGUAACGGCUUACCAAGGCAACGAUGCGUAGCCGACCUGAGAGGGUGAUCGGCCACAAUGGAACUGAGACACGGUCCAGACUCCUACGGGAGGCAGCAGUAGGGAAUCUUCCGCAAUGGGCGAAAGCCUGACGGAGCAACGCCGCGUGAGUGAUGAAGGUCUUCGGAUCGUAAAACUCUGUUAUUAGGGAAGAACAAAUGUGUAAGUAACUAUGCACGUCUUGACGGUACCUAAUCAGAAAGCCACGGCUAACUACGUG